AAUAGAUACCCAGGUAGUCCACGCCGUAAACGAUGAAUGCUAGGUGUUAGGGGUUAAGACACCCUUGGUGCCGAAGUUAACACAUUAAGCAUUCCGCCUGGGGAGUACGGUCGCAAGACUGAAACUCAAAGGAAUUGACGGGGACCCGCACAAGCAGUGGAGCAUGUGGUUUAAUUCGAAGCAACGCGAAGAACCUUACCAGGUCUUGACAUCCCUCUGAAUACAUUGGAAACAGUGUAGGCCUUCGGGACAGAGGUGACAGGUGGUGCAUGGUUGUCGUCAGCUCGUGUCGUGAGAUGUUGGGUUAAGUCCCGCAACGAGCGCAACCCUUAGCUUUAGUUGCCAGCACUUUGGGUGGGCACUCUAGAGCGACUGCCGGUGACAAACCGGAGGAAGGCGGGGAUGACGUCAAAUUAUCAUGCCCCUUAUGGUCUGGGCUACACACGUGCUACAAUGGCCGGUACAAAGGGAAGCGAAGGAGCGAUCUGGAGCCAAUCCCAAAAAACCGGUCUCAGUUCGGAUUGCAGG
rnacentral:rRNA from 1 species